rnacentral:rRNA from 1 species
UGCAGUCGAGCGAAUGGAUUAAGAGCUUGCUCUUAUGAAGUUAGCGGCGGACGGGUGAGUAACACGUGGGUAACCUACCCAUAAGACUGGGAUAACUCCGGGAAACCGGGGCUAAUACCGGAUAAUAUUUUGAACUGCAUAGUUCGAAAUUGAAAGGCGGCUUCGGCUGUCACUUAUGGAUGGACCCGCGUCGCAUUAGCUAGUUGGUGAGGUAACGGCUCACCAAGGCGACGAUGCGUAGCCGACCUGAGAGGGUGAUCGGCCACACUGGGACUGAGACACGGCCCAGACUCCUACGGGAGGCAGCAGUAGGGAAUCUUCCGCAAUGGACGAAAGUCUGACGGAGCAACGCCGCGUGAGUGAUGAAGGCUUUCGGGUCGUAAAACUCUGUUGUUAGGGAAGAACAAGUGCUAGUUGAAUAAGCUGGCACCUUGACGGUACCUAACCAGAAAGCCACGGCUAACUACGUGCCAGCAGCCGCGGUAAUACGUAGGUGGCAAGCGUUAUCCGGAAUUAUUGGGCGUAAAGCGCGCGCAGGUGGUUUCUUAAGUCUGAUGUGAAAGCCCACGGCUCAACCGUGGAGGGUCAUUGGAAACUGGGAGACUUGAGUGCAGAAGAGGAAAGUGGAAUUCCAUGUGUAGCGGUGAAAUGCGUAGAGAUAUGGAGGAACACCAG